AAAGGGAGUCCGGUUGCUUCGGGAUGGUCACCAUCCACCUUUUAUCGCGUUCCGAUUGCUCGUCGUCACUCGCAAUCGGCCUCCCGCGGCGCACGCCGCUCGGCUCGACCCAAACCACGCGCGACUACCGAACGACCUCCGAUCCGUGAUCCGGUUAUUAAAGGUCUUCGGUUCUUCGUUACGAUGCUCGGAAUCCGAUCUCACUAUUUAUGGAAGCCGCCUCGGCUCCUCGGGUCAAUACGAACCCACGGACACUUGUUUCAGCCGGAACGUCGCACCCGCUCGACGAAUCGACGAACCGUCACUUCCCACGCGUUCGGACACCUAUCAAUUAGGUUUAUAGAGGGUUAAUAGAGAUCAAACCCAACUAUUUACAAAAAAUCCCAUUUUUGAAGCCCUAUAUACCAUUGAUGCUAAAUACUCCAAAUCAGUCCAAGAUUUAGGUACUAGUUAUCUCAUUAGCAUCCUAGGAUUCCAAAAAUACCAUUUCUAGAGAUCAAAACCCAUGAUCUACCAAGAAAUCCAAUUCAAGCCCUAGGUUUACAACUAGGCAAUAAACCACCAUUAGAGCUUUGGAUUUAAGCAUAAUCUAUCUAAUUAGCAUCUAGGAAAGCUACUAAAUCCAUUUCUAGAGUAUUUAAAUCACACCCUAGAGAUCUACCAUUGAAGGGGUUAACAAGCUUACCUCUUAAGCUAGCACAACGGAGAGGAGAAGAUGAGAAGAUGAAGCUCCACCUUGUUUGCUUCCUUCUUCACCAUCUUCUUCUCCUUCCUCCUCUUCUUCUUCUCUUCUCCUUUCUUUCUAGAGAGAGAGAGAGAGCUAUUUGGUGUAGUAGGGUUGAGAGAAAUGAGAGAGAAGAGAUAACCCAAGCUUCUAUAGCCUCUUAUUAGAGCAAAAUUGCAGAAAACACCCUCAACAAAGCUUCCCUCGCAACAGCCCAAACUGGGCCAUUUUCGCGCUCGGGGACCGGUCCUUGCGAUGAGCGACCGGUCCCUGAGAGACCGGUCCUUGACUUUGAGACCAGUCCUCGAAGGUCCAGAACUCAGCCUCAAGGACUUAGCCAAAUUUUCAGCAUUUUCGUCCGUUUUCGUCCGUUCUCGCUUGUUUGACCUCCGAUUCGUCUCAAAUCGAACCGAGACUCUUCAAACAUAUUUUCAAACAUGUUUUCAUCAUCUUUCCAUCCUCGCUAAUGCCGGAUUUAGCUCACGGCCCACUUAGCCUUCCGGGUUCCGUUUUCGCGCGUAUGCGCACUGAAACGCCCGAUUGCCCCAGAACUUCACCAAACUUCACCGGGACCAUUCAAACAGCUCUCCAACCAAAUGUACACCGUAACUUCAUGAUUUUAGAAGUCCGGUACCUUACAUCCUCCCCUCCUUAAUAAGAGUUUCGUCCUCGAAACUAACUCACCUCAAACCUAAUUCACACCCUAAUUCUCUUUAUUGAGUGACAAGGGGUACAGUACACUUUUGCAUCUCGGAGUGGCCUUUCGCUCAUUGGAACUAUCCAAGGCCCACUACGGAGGACGUGAGACUAGAUUCACUCACAUUUGCUGUGUGUAAGUCCAAAAGUGCAUUACGGGUCUCCGUCAUUCUGGGUGGUAGCGCAAGUCGAAACUCAACGACUCUACGCGCUCCAACACCAUUCUUCAUCUGGCAUGCAAGAACUCUUCUUUGCAUCCCACACCUUGUCAGGGAACAUACUCCGAUUCGAUCACCGACAUUGCUCAAAAGCAAUAUAUGAUUGGGGCAUCACCCAAUCACAAAUGCUCUAAUCACAUUCGGACUUUGCUCUACCGUGAGAUGGCCUACCCCGGCAUAUCUCAAACCUCCAAUUCUCAAGAGAGCAUUGUCCACAACUCCAUGUGGCUAUCAGGUAUUCAAGUGUCCCCAAUAGAGCACUUUCUCUUAUCUCUCAAUUGCCACCUCUAACCUCAAAUCGCUCUACUGCGAGAUGGCCUACCCCGGCACAUCUCUCGAACUUUGAUCCACGAAAGAGCGUUGUCUCCAAGUUUUCCAAAUUUUUCCAACAUAACCAAGCCUGCCUGGGCAAAUCUUGUACUCGGGGACCGGUCUUGCCCUACCUGGGACCGGUUGCCCCGUGCUGCCCAACCUUCCGCCUCGGGGCAACCGGUCCCUCCCUCCUGGGACCGGUCCCCGAGAGCAAGCUCGCGCAAACCACAUUCGGGAACCGGUCCCUCCCACCAGGGACCGGUCCCCGAGAGCAAUUCUGCCAAGUGCAGAUUCUUGCACCAUUUGCUCUCGCGUACUCUAUUGCAAUGCACUUUUGGCUCAUUUGACUUCUUCGACUUUUACGAAGCACUCCCACUCGACAAUUAGUCGAUCCUGAGCGAAGUGCAAAUCUCGUAUUUCGAGGACUCUCUUCCUUACUCUGACUCCUCCACAGAAUUAUUGGCUAAAACGAUUACGUCGGCUUUUGCGGGUGGACCAGCGGUCGUAAUGCUACAUCGGCAUAUUGCCUAAACCUAUCGUACUACGCAUAGCGUCUCUCACUAGCAUCAUAGACCCAAUCAUCAUCGGGCGACAUUCUCAUUGGAGAAUUCGCACACACUCCAACCAGGAGCAACCAAGACUCCAACCACAUCAUGUCCUCGGGUUGGGUCACCACACACUCGGUGUGUCCUCGAUCUCAUGAUCUAACACGUGACAUUCCACGCACUCGGGUCUAAGCUCGGACUACCGUCCUGACCAAAACCCUCCGCCCUACCUAUCGGUAUUGGGCCGUUGCCUCUCGCAGCUGACUGCGCCUGCCAAAUGGGCCCAGGCUCCACAGUCCACGAAGGGUCCAGGCACGGGUCGUCCCCAAGCACUACCCGCUAACGUCGUCCUACACGACACACUCUACAGAGCUACGCACUCUACCGGCUCCUAGGCACCUAGUGCGAGCCACCAGCCCUCACGAGUGAUCCAUGGCCCGCUUCACACAUAGCCCUGUCGAAGUGCUACUGCCAAUUCACUCGACCGGCUGAACCGAAACUGCAGUCCACGAGUAUUUAUACUCAAGCGCUCUACGUCUCUACAGCGUCUCGCACGAAGUCUAACAUCAGGCAGCUCAGCCUAUGCUCGCCAGCCACACGAGCAACAACUCGUCUACCUCAGUUCGAGGUACUACUAGGCCCACAGGCCAAGUUCGGCGCUAAUCAACCAAUUUCGCAACAGUGAUUAAUCACCAUUGUCCGAUCUAUCGAAUCCACCUCCGAAAUACUCUCGGGAUAUCCGGGUGUCCCCAAACAUCAAGGCUCAACUCUCGCAAUCUCUAAUCUAUUGCAUCGAGAGUUCUCUCACAUUUUCGACUUCCAUUACGAGCCUCGUUUCUUAUCCAAAAUCCCCACUAGCCAUUUGCUAGUGCCCAAUGGCUCUCUACCUGCCCCAGCGGGCGCCAUACUCUCAUCCUGCUAGCAUGCUUGGGUACCUACUCAUCCGACCACUCGGUCCCUACUAUGUAAUGUAGUAAUAGUAGUAACUGACCAAUGAUGAAUGCAUGCUAUGCAACAACUUGGGAUCAUGCAAAAAUAUGCUUGCUCAAUUAAUUUAUACCUGCUACGACGACGUCGACAACAGCAGGCACCGCAACUCGGGUCGCUUAUCCAUGGCCACUUGGCGCUCGUCGCGAACCCUCUGAUUGCAACGUCCUCAAUGGCUGCUCUCCCGACCAUGCCGCAGGUGGCACACCUGCAGCCUAUCCCUGGGCGGUCGUUAGCGUCAAGGCCCGGCUAUCGCCUUUGCGGAAACUCGUCCCGCACAUGGCCCGGCAGCCCACACCUGAAGCACUUGCCCUCACGCUGUUCACACUGCUGUGGGCAAUGAGGGCCCCCACAAAUAAUACAUCUCGCCGAGGACCGAAUGUGGUAAGUCCCUGGAGCUCGGGAUCGCGAGCGCGAACUUAUCGAAGUUCGUUGGAAACUUGACUGACCAUCAUGUCCACUCACUGGCUGUCCUUUCCCCUUUCCUUGUAGUAUGACUCGCGCUCCUCCCGUAGGGAUUCCUCACCUUGUUCUAUCCACAAGGCCCGAUCCCGGACGUCAGCGGAAGUCUGCAACUUAUGUGCAAGCACAGUCUUGCAAAGGUCUGGCCGAAGUCCACGCACAAAGCAGUCGGUCAUGUCCUUGUCAUCCCGCGCUACGUUCGGGACGCAACGCACGACACGGGAGAAUUCCCGCUCGUAUCGCCUCACGGUGCUGUUUACCUGCCACAGCUUCGGAAACCCUUCUGAAGCUUCCUCGCUUACCGUCGGGGAAGUGAACGGAGAAUACCAAUUCCCGAACUUAUCCCAGACCAUAGGAGGGAUACCAGGCAAUCAGUUCCGUCAAAUGCCUUUCCACCACACCUUUGGCGACUGUUUACAAGCAGCAUACGGCUAGGUGUGCUCUUCCUCACUCUACAACGCAUAGAUCCGCAAAGGGGGUCUCGCUCUCGGCUCGUCACCAGCAGCUUGCCGGCACCGACCAAUCACCAAUUUCUUUAGGUAGGUGACAUACCACCACGACUUAUGCGUGCUGGGUGACUCCUCUGACCUGCGUCCUGGUCUCUACUAUACCAAUAUGUAAAUAAUAGUAAAAGACCACAAGCAAAUGCAUACAAUUGCUCAAACUACUUCAUGCUAGAAUGUAUGAUCGCUUUAAUUAAAUCAUACCUGCGGUAACAUCACCAACAGCAGCAUGUCCCUCGACGUGAGCUGCGUAUCCAUGGCCGCUUGGAGCCUCCUGUGAAUCCUCCGGCUGCUCGACCACCACCAGCCCUCCAGACUGUGCCACAGGCUACACAUCCACCAUCUGUCCCGAAGAGGUGAAUGUUGACGCUGUCGGUGGGAGUUGUCCAUCGCCCAAGGGGCAACCAUGUCUCACGUGGCCAGACUGCCCGCAACGAAAACACCUUCCCUUUCGCAGCGCACACCGCCGCGCCUGGUGGGAUCCUCCACAAAUCACACACCCCGCAGGUACGGCAGUAGCAAACGGAACUCCACCAAACUGUCGCUGAGUCUCUGAGGCGGAUGCAACUGACGGGGCAGGUGGCACUCCUCCCAUGCACUGACGGGCCAUAUGUCCCGCCCGACCACACUUGAAGCACCGUCCCGCCCGAUCCUUACAAGUCGCUGCGCGAUGCUCUCUACCGCAGAUCACGCACCGCAUAGGUCCUUGUCUAAUGGACCGCCCCUUUUGGUACUUCGGGGCCUUUUUGGAACUAGACUGUUCCCCCGAACUACCACCAGGCCGUUUCUUCACUCCACUCUCCUUGAACGCCUCGCGUUCCUGUCUCACUUCCCCAGCUGCCGCAUCGAGUAUCGUAGGACCCGAAGCCGCCAGAGGGACACUAGCCGGCAGGGUAUGCGCCACCGCCGGCGUCACCAAAAUGCUCACGCCCUCAGGCGCAUCAGGCGCGCGAGCCGAGGGCGCGGGCGGACCAUGGCCUUCAGUUGUCGUCACGGCCGUCGUCGCCACUUGUCACUUCAAAAGCUCCUGGAGCUGAUCGAUCUGACUCCCUUGGCGUUGAAUCAUGCCAAUAAGCGUAGUCAUCUGCGCUCGCAAUUCUUGCACUUCACUUGACCCAGCUUGCUCAGGCACCUCGGGAGGCGGUGACGGAACGAAUCCACGCGCGUAGUGUCUCCUUGGUGCCAUUAGCUCCUGAAACACAACAACUCGGUUAAUUACCUUAACCUGCUAACCUCGUCGCAACUAUUAGACGACGCGACUCAAUCAGGCGAAAGUCAUACAAGGGUGCCUAUUCUCACCACUCAGUUUCAUGUUGUAUGCAUCCAACAUGAACACCCUCGGGUGAGAAUAAACAAAACCCUGAGUCCACCUCUAACAUCCGUCUUAGAGGUUUACCAACUUGACCCAAUCAUCCAACUUUCGCCACCGUAUAGGUUCACGUCACUCACGCACCUAUAACCUUAGGGUUCACCGUCCUAGGGUCUCCUAGGUCUAUCCUAAACUUCUCUCUUUACUUGCUCUUAACCGCUCUAAUACCACUUUAUCUGUCACGCCCCGAGACCGCUACCAAUUUGGCUCGGCCCGGGCACGUUGAACAGACGCCGGACGGACAGCACCUACCCUGUCCGCCCAAGGCUAACAACGAGAUUGCGUACAACAAGUUCCCAGGAAAGUAACUUGAAUACAUACACAAUCAAUAACUACAACGAGAGAACAAUCAGUGCAAAACAACUAAGAGCAAGAUACAAGUAUAGAACAUACAAGUAAUGAUAAAGAGAGAACAUCUAUCUAUUACAUUCAUUCAGCCUUUAUAAUACAAUUUGAUUAUACAUUAAGCUUCUAAACAUAAUAUAAAGCUUACAUCUUCCAAAAUAUAAACAUUAGCUUACAUUCAUUCCAGAAUAUCUCACAUCCUAUACAUCAUCUACUCUCAAAGCAUAUAAAGGUGACUCUAAUGCAGAAAUAGGAAAGUAAACUAAUGCAACUAGGGCGCUAGGCGCUUACCGCGAUCCUCGCCGUGUGAACUCGCGCUCGGCCCUGUAGUAAAAUGGGGGUGAGAACUAACUUUCUUAGUUCCCAGUGGGUUCGGCCGCCGACUCCGCCGAUCUCCCCACUAGGUCCAAGUGGGCACAAGUAGAUAAUCGAUAGAUAGAUAGAUAAGGAAAGCGGUAAAUAACAGAAGUAAAGCUACUCUACUAUGCCCAAUCAUAAAUAUAUGAAUGCAUGUACAAUGAAAUAAGUAAGCAACUAACCUGUUAUCAUGUCCAAAGGUAAAGCUAUUCACUCGUUCAUUAACCUCAUUUACUUGUUCAUUAAUCUCAUGGCUUACCCGAAGGCUCGCCUACAGCUCACUAGCCAUCUCGACGCGUAGGGAGAAUUAACUCAUAUUACGAACCCGAGACCAUCUGGUGGGGCCAAAAUAGGCAAUCCCUUGGGACCCAAAAUAGGCAAUCCCACGUGACCAACUCCGGAGCGCACUACUUGUGUGGGGCUUCCAUCACAAGAUUUAAAAACAGACCGUGAGCAUGAUCCAAUCCUCGUCUCGAGAAUACCCUAUCCUCUAGGGUUACAAUCAUCAUAUAGUCCAUAGGAUUCACAUACACUACGACUCAUAUGUGUCAUUUAUUCUUUUGCUUACUAUCAACUAAAUGCCACUCGUUCUUUACAAGUUUCCAAUGCAAUAGCCAAUACAUUACUAAGUUCCCAUCCACACUUAUCAUCUCAUUAUAGGGUUCCACAUCACAUAUAUAAACCUCAAGCAUGCUAGAUAUAAGUACUAAGCCAAAUACAUUAUUCUACCAAAGAACAUGCAAGGUAUAGGACCAAACCAUCAUUUAUCACCCUAUAAUGCAAGAUGUCAAUAUGCAAUUUGAUCAAAAUAAACUUAGACAUAAAAGGGAGUUCGGUUGCUUCGGGAUGGUCACUACCAACCUUUUAUCGCGUUCCGAUUGCUCGUCGUCACUCGCAAUCGGCCUCCCGCGGCGCACGCCGCUCGGCUCGACCCAAACCACGCGCGACCACCGAACGACCUCCGAUCCGCGAUCCGGUUAUUAAAGGUCUUCGGUUCUUCGUUACGAUGCUCGGAAUCCGAUCUCACUAUUUAUGGAAGCCGCCUCGGCUCCUCGGGUCAAUACGAACCC
rnacentral:lncRNA from 1 species